UCCAUGUGGUGGUGACAAACAGUACUGCAGCCAGACAUGAUCAUUGCUUUGUGAGCCCAGCUGAGUGGUCAGCUGUAGGGGCUUUAUAGGAUGGUCACUUUGUAAAGUUUUCAGUUGGCUGGGGAUCACGGGGAAGCAAAAAGAACAGCCAUCAAAUCCAUAUGUGAAGCUGCAGAAAAAAAUAAAAUACAAUAGGUGGCUUUAGAUCAAGAGGGCUGAUCCAUGUGCAGCUGUAUACUGGGGCGCAGACUGAGGCCUGAUCAACCCUGGCUGGGUCACCUGGAAGAGGGUAUUUGAUGUUGAAAGACCCGACACACCAGAGGACCCCAGGGAACAUCAUUGAUGAUGCAUCCCAGUGCAACAGGACGAUUUCCUUUUAGAAGUACAGCAACAUCCAAAACCUUGUUUAGGAAGGCAACAAAUCACAUACGAAUUCUGCUGGUGUUGCAGAGCAUUUCUGGAAAGACCAAACUGACAACAAAGAAAAAUGGAUCAUCAAAUGUUCUGAAUUGUUUGCAUUCAAAGAUAUAUACUAAAAUCAGUACUUUUGAAUUAUACUCCAAUGAAUAAAGUGUGCAUCAAGAAUUCAUAGUGACAUUAAUUCAUUAUGUUCAGAAUGAUAUUCAUAUUUCAACCUAGAGAUGGUUAGAUUUACAUGUAGAGCAUCUGCAACACCUCCUUCAUAUUCAGAAUGUCAAAGGAU